AUCUCCACCUGAUAACAAAGAUGUAGCCUUUUCAUUUUGUCACACAUUGUAUACAUUACCCAUUAACCUUCAUUUCAUGACCUUUAGACGUAGGUGUGCUGGUAAGGGAUUUUGCUCUUCCGGACCAAAAAGCAAAAGCAGUGUGUUUUAUGUUUAUGGUCACUGAAGAUACAGAGAUAGUGGUUUAGCUUAGUUACAAAGCUAACUACAUUAGAUAGGCGUUAAAGAUGUCUGCAUAGUGGUAUGGACGCCUACUCUUGCCAGCCAUUCUGGGUAUAAAAUAAAAUCGCUUACUGCCCUGAUAUCCUUUUAUAGUCUGAAGUAGGAGAAUGUCUCCUGCACAGAUAAUCAGUCACCAGGUGAGAGUCUCAAAUACAGGGGAGUCCUCUGUUUUAAAAUUUGGCGCGUGGGAGAGGAGGCUUUAAAUGAAACCAAAAACCUAAUUCGCUAGCCUGAAGCCUGAAAUUCAGUUUCAUUCUUCGUAUUAUUGGUGCCUGCUUGAGGAAGAAGUAACAAGGUUCAGUAAGGCCUUGCCCAACAGAAUAAAGAAUGGUGAAAGUAUUUUUCGUCCUUGCUGGAAACACUCAGAACACCCAGGCACAGUUUUGGCAGCGCCUGGUCAGAAGAGGUACCAAUGCGGUGAAAGUGGCCAACAUUAGAGACUGUGAUGUGACCCUCACAUUCUGUCCAAUCGUCUCACGAGUUGGAACUGAUGUAGAGGCAGCCGUCCAGCUGAUCCCAACAACUAGACCUGGAGUCCUGGUUUGACUGCACCCAACCUUUAACCCAGAGGAAAUCGUCCCAGACGCCAGCAGAUUUGUACGCCGUGCUGACAUCCUAACUGUCAACUGCUUGUUCCACGAGAGCGAGCUACUGAACAGUGACUGCAAUGACAAAGCGUGUGAAAGUGUUUCCCGUUACUUAAUGCACUUCCAGAGGGGAACUGCCUCUCAAAGCCCAUACCAUCAUGUUGUCUACGAUCUUCCUUGUCCAACUCAGAAUCAAAACCAUGGUUGCCUUUAUUCAAUAUCACCAAAACUUCACAAGUAUCGCGUACCGCUGAUAGCUUGCAUAGUAUUAUUUUUUAUAUCGAUUUUCAUCUGGAUUAUGACAUUGCUCUAAAACAAGCGCCAUUAAGGACGUCUCAUUUUGUUAAAUUCUCUCAGAGGACCUGAGGAAUGAGAUGAGAUGUGAAGAAACAGUGGACCGUUUCAAUUGGAAUGCCUGACAUAUGGUCAGAGGUGGAUUCUUCCCUCCUCUUUACAUCUGUCAACCUACAAUUUAAAAUAACAUGUAGUGGUUUAUGAACAAAAAUAAAAUAUUAGUCAAACCAAGAAAACAUCUUCAUACUCUUGAAUCAUACUCAAAUAUGGCAACUUUAACAACACAUACACGAUUGUGUUGCCUACAGGAUUGUGUUUAAAAAAUAAUAUACUUAUACAUAUGCCUGUUGUGCUACUAACUUGUGAGAAGGUGAAUUCUCCCCCUCCUAACCGUGGCAAAAAGGGAUGGUGCCCUUUAAGACUUUUGGACUCCCCCACCAUAAUGGUUGGGUCUGGGCUCCCCUGCUUCCAUGGUGGACCUAAUUAAGCCCAAGUGGCUGUGCCCUAUUUAAAGGCUGCCUCAUUUGUAGAGAGGGAGAGACUGUUUGUGAGAGGCAUGAGACCACUGACAGAGAGAAUAAAGAAUGGUGAAAGUAUUUAUCAUCUUUGCUGGAAACACUCUGAACACUCAUGCAAAGUUUUGGCAGCGCCUGGUCAGAAGUAACGAUGCGGAGGAAGUGGCCAACGUUAGAGACUGUGAUGUGACCCUCACAUUCUGUCCAAUCGUCUCACGAGUUGGAACUGAUGUAGAGGCAGCCGUCCAGCUGAUCCCAACAACUAGACCUGGAGUCCUGGUAUUACUGCACCCAACCUUUAACCCAGAGGAAAUAGUCCCAGACGCCAACAGAUUUGUAACCAGUGCUAAAAUCCUGACUGUCAACUGCUUGUUCCACGAGGGCACCCUACUGGACAGCCAUUGCAAUGACGAAGCCUUUGAAAGCGUUUCCAGUUACUUAAGGAAAAUUGCCCCACAUACUAGCUAUGAACUUCCUUCUCCACCUCAUAAUCGAAACCAUGGUUACAACUCCAUGCACAUGGUGGGGAUAACUGUCACACUAUUGGGUUUAAUCUUUAUUAUUUAUCUUUAUCUUAUGCCAUCGCUCCAAGACAAGCCAAUGGCCAGAGGUGGAAAUUCCACCUCCUCUUCACAUCUGUCAACCUAAAAUUUAAAAUGACAUGUAGUUGUUUAUGAACAAAAAUAAAUGAUCAGUCAAACCAAGAAAACAUUUUCAUACUCUUGAAUCAUCCUCAAAUAUACCAACUUUAACAAAACAUACAUGAUUGCACUGUCUACAAGAUUGUGUUUAAAAAACAAUAUACUUAUACCAUGUCAUGACAUGUCAUAUCACACCCCGUGAGCAGAAUUUGUUAAUGGUAAACUCUAGCAGAUUUGACCAGCUAUAAUAUGGUAGGUCUUCUAUCUCAGAAUUGUCUGGAAUUUCCACACACUUCGACAUAAAAUAGGCCUUAUUCAAUUCAGAGUUUGUAACUGAAGCUUCUCUUUCACACACUGUUUUUCAAAAGUUGGAAUAAUGCUUACUGGUGUGCAAUCAUGUCUCUUUUGCACUAUAAUAACUUCUGUUCUGCUGUAUCAUGUUUAAUUUGGAACACAUUUAGAAAGUUUAAGGAUUUAAAAUGAGACCUCAGCAAUUGUGAUGUUAACAUGUGGCAUAAAGAAAGUGAUGAAAUUAAAGACCUAUUAUGGGAGAAUUGGUAUUUUUUGCUAUUGAGCUCCCUCUAAAGAUGGAGAGUGUAGCUUACUUUUCAUGGAAAGUGUGUCUGCUUCUCAGAUGGAAGCUGGAAGAUUAUUCCACAGGAGAGGGUCUCGAUAGCAGAAGGCUCUGCCUCCUAUUGUGCUUUUUGACUUUCUUGGAAUUACAGAUCUGCACUCUGGGAACGAAGUGUUUUUGGUGUUAGAAGGAGUACUUUGAAAUCAAUUAUUCUUUUGACAGAGAGGCCAGUACAGGUGAGAUGUUCAAUAUAUUUUUUAGCUCUAGUAAGUGUGCGAGCAGAAACAUUCAGUAUGAGUUGGAGGCUCUUUAUUGAGUUGUUGCUAUGUCCAGACAGGAGAGGAUUGUUAGUUUAGUUUUUCGGCAUCUUGGAGGGAUAGGACUUUUCUAAUUUUGGCAAUAUUGCGUAGAUGAAAAAAUAGUGUCUGAGUUCUGUUUUCUGUGUAAGUCUAGUAGAAGGUAUUCGUUUAUAAUUAUACAGAGAUUUUUGGUGGAGUGUUGGAUGUUAAUAAGAUGCCAUUGAGUGUGGUAGAUGGUUAGAUAAUGCCAUUCUCGAUUGUUUAGGGCCUACAAGCAUAACCUCAGUUUUAUCUGAGUUAGGGAGCAGGAAGUUGUUAGUCAUCCAUGCUUAACAUCUUGCAAGCAAGCUUCCAUCUUGGGUAGCUGUACAAUUUCCUCAGAGUUCAUGGAUAGGUAGUCGGGCUAGCUAACCUGCAUAACAUUACUUAACUGUCGAUACGGUCGUCUGCUUGUUGUCAUUAGGUGAACGCUCUAAACUCGGAAGUAGGACCUUCCGGAAUGGGAACUUUCUCCAAUUCCCAGUUGCCCGAAUGCACACUGAGCAUGCACGUCUAAUUUCUCAUGUACAUCUGUCCUUUUGUUGAUGACACAACGAAAGGAAGGGAGAAUUAAGAGGGUGUCUUUAACUAUUAAUCUUUAACUUGCAUGUGGCAUCAGGAAGUACAUGCCACUGGCAGGAGGCGGGACAUGCACUUCAUGUACUCAGAGGUGUAAAGUAACGAAUUACUUUUACUCACGUUACUGUAAUUGAGUAGUUUUUUUGUGUACUUUGUAAUUUUUAAGUAGUUUUUGAAAUCGGUAAUUUUACUUUUACUUAAGUAGAUUUUGACUGAAGUAUUGUACUUCGCUACAUUGGACAUUACAUCCGUUACUGAGUAAAAAAAAAAACAUAGUUCAAGGCGGGAAUCGCGCACCACAAUUCUCACUGCAAUGGUGGAUGCUGCAUAGAGUAAAUGAUGGAGUCAUGCAAGGAGCCGGUACGGUGCCGAGUCACGAGAGAUAGAUAUGGAGGAAGAUGAUAGUGCGGACUACCAACAAGCUGAAGCACCGAACUUUCCGCCAGUUGAAAUUAAAGAAGAUGAAGAAAACCCGUGGCCAUAUCUCAGCAAGCAGUUUGCCUUCCAACGUAAAAGAGGCAACAGCUAUAUGCUGUGUAAACUGUGCCUAAUCCGCCAGUCAGAACUUUCUGCUUAUACAAAUUCAUCUUCAAAUCUGCGCAAGCAUGUGUUGGUAAGUACAGUAUUUGUCCCUUUCCAUUAGUAGUUCAGACAGCGUUUUUGUCAUUUAGUUAGCUUUGCUCCAUUAAGCAAAAUAUGCGUUUCAUGGCACUAGUAGGUAGUAGCCUAAUUUUGGCUAGCACUUGCAACCGACCUGAGUAUGCUAACGUCGACAGCGGUCAUCCAAUAGACUAAUAAUACCAUUCCUGUCUUCCAUUCGUUUC
ensembl:lncRNA